UACGGGGGGGGCAAGCGUUGUUCGGAAUUACUGGGCGUAAAGGGCUCGUAGGCGGCCAACUAAGUCAGACGUGAAAUCCCUCGGCUUAACCGGGGAACUGCGUCUGAUACUGGAUGGCUCGAGUUUGGGAGAGGGAUGCGGAAUUCCAGGUGUAGCGGUGAAAUGCGUAGAUAUCUGGAGGAACACCGGUGGCGAAGGCGGCAUCCUGGACCAACACUGACGCUGAUGAGCGAAAGCUAGGGGAGCAAACAGG
rnacentral:rRNA from 1 species